rnacentral:rRNA from 1 species
AGAGUUUGAUCCUGGCUCAGAACGAACGCUGGUGGCGUGCUUAACACAUGCAAGUCGAACGAGAACGUUUCCUUCAGGAAACUAGUAAAGUGGCGCAAGGGUGAGUAACACGUGAAUAAUCUGCCCUCGAGAUCGGGAUAACAUGGUGAAAACUUUGCUAAUACCGGAUAAGACCACAUUUCGCAAGAAAUGCGGUAAAAGGAGUCUCAAUCUUCACUCGAGGAUGAGUUCGCGCAACAUUAGCUUGUUGGUGAGAUAAAAGCUCACCAAGGCUACGAUGUUUAGCCGGCCUGAGAGGGUGAACGGCCACACUGGAACUGAGACACGGUCCAGACUCCUACGGGAGGCAGCAGUGGGGAAUAUUGCGCAAUGGGCGAAAGCCUGACGCAGCAACGCCGUGUGAGCGAUGAAGGCUUUAGGGUCGUAAAGCUCUGUCAAUUGGGAAGAAUUAUGACGGUACCAGUAGAGGAAGCCCCGGCUAACUCCGUGCCAGCAGCCGCGGUAAUACGGAGGGGGCAAGCGUUGUUCGGAAUUAUUGGGCGUAAAGCGUAUGUAGGCGGCUAAGCAAGUCAGGCGUGCAAGCCCGUGGCUCAACCACGGAAUUGCGUUUGAAACUGCUUAGCUUGAGUACAGGAGAGGAAAGCGGAAUUCCCAGUGUAGCGGUGAAAUGCAUUGAUAUUG